AUGUUGGGUUAAGUCCCGCAACGAGCGCAACCCUUGUCCUCAGUUACCAGCACGUUAUGGUGGGCACUCUGGGGAGACUGCCGGUGACAAACCGGAGGAAGGUGGGGACGACGUCAAGUCAUCAUGGCCCUUACGGCCAGGGCUACACACGUGCUACAAUGGUGCAUACAGACGGUUGCCAAGCCGCGAGGUGGAGCUAAUCUGAGAAAGUGCAUCGUAGUCCGGAUUGGAGUCUGCAACUCGACUCCAUGAAGUCGGAAUCGCUAGUAAUCGUGAAUCAGAAUGUCACGGUGAAUACGUUCCCGGGCCUUGCACACACCGCCCGU
rnacentral:rRNA from 1 species